AUUGAACGCUGGCGGCAGGCCUAACACAUGCAAGUCGAACGAGUGGCGGACGGGUGAGUAAUGUCUGGGAAACUGCCUGAUGGAGGGGGAUAACUACUGGAAACGGUAGCUAAUACCGCAUACCAUCAGAUGUGCCCAGAUGGGAUUAGCUUGUUGGUGGGGUAAAGGCUCACCAAGGCGACGAUCUCUAGCUGGUCUGAGAGGAUGACCAGCCACACUGGAACUGAGACACGGUCCAGACUCCUACGGGAGGCAGCAGUGGGGAAUAUUGGACAAUGGGCGCAAGCCUGAUGCAGCCAUGCCGCGUGUAUGAAGAAGGCCUUAGGGUUGUAAAGUACUUUCAGCGGGGAGGCGUUACCCGCAGAAGAAGCACCGGCUAACUCCGUGCCAGCAGCCGCGGUAAUAC
rnacentral:rRNA from 1 species